rnacentral:rRNA from 1 species
GUGUCAGCAGCCGCGGUAAUACGUAGGGGGCGAGCGUUGUCCGGAUUCAUUGGGCGUAAAGCGCGCGUAGGCGGCGCGGUAAGUCGGCCGUGAAAUCUCCGGGCUCAACUCGGAGGGGUCGGGCGAGACUGCCGGGCUCGAGGCGGGUAGAGGGGUGUGGAAUUCCGGGUGUAGUGGUGGAAUGCGUAGAGAUCCGGAGGAACACCAGUGGCGAAGGCGGCACCCUGGGCCUGGCCUGACGCUGAGGCGCGAAAGCGUGGGGAGCGAUCCGGAUUAGAUACCCGGGUAGUCCACGCCGUAAACGAUGGGCACUAGGUGUCGGGGGUAUCGACCCCCUCGGUGCCGGCGCUAACGCAAUAAGUGCCCCGCCUGGGGAGUACGGCCGCAAGGCUAAA